GCGAGUCUUUCCUUGACAGAGAUGUCCGGGUAAUCUUGUUAAACUGUGUCGUGCUGGGGAUAGAGCAUUGCAAUUAUUGCUCUUCAACGAGGAAUCCCUAGUAAGCGCAAGUCAUCAGCUUGCGUUGAUUACGUCCCUGCCCUUUGUACACACCGCCCGUCGCUACUACCGAUUGGAUGGCUCAGUGAGAUUUCCGGAUUGGCUUAGAAGAGUGGGAAACUACUUUUCAUAGCCGAGAAGCUACUCAAACUCGGUCAUCUAGAGGAAGUAAAAGUCGUAACAAGGUCUCCGUUGGUGAACCAGCGGAGGGAUCAUUA
rnacentral:rRNA from 4 species